CAUGCAAUGCAAUGAGAGAAAAUGAUAUUACAGAGAAAUGUGCAAUGUGCUUAGAACACAUAGAGCAAGGGACCAUUUAAGCUCAUCUGGGAGCAAUGUGAAAAAGGCAGACUGGCCUCUUGAAUCCAUCUCCCAGGGAUUAAAGGAAACUGGAAAUGGUUGUGACUCUUUACUGACUUGCCAUAUGAGGCAGGCUGAAGAUGGCAUUCUGAAUGAAUUGGCACAGCCCUACAGCAUUGGAAUGGUAUUUCUUGACAGGGUUGGAUGGCAUAUGUAGUUUUGUGUAUUGUUCUGGUGCUUCUUAAAUCAAGUUGCCCAAUUUAAGCCAAACAAAUGUUUUAUUCUCUAUUCUUUAUUCAAAUCACAUCAAUCCUUUGCAUGGUCAAGUCAUAUCCCCUGAGUGCACUCUGAAAAUUCCCCAUGGUGCUUAGAAAAGGCUAUUAUAAUAGACAGUAAUUAAACAACGUACUUAGUAUGCUUUAAGUGAUUCAAUUUUCAAAUUUAUUUUAACUAUGUUAUUCCUAUAAAACUGUUUAAAUUGAUUAGUGAGUAAAUAAAGUUUGUAAAUCCAUACAAAAUAAAGGAGUAUAAUUGAAAACAAAAAUGGUUUCCAGGUCUUAAUCAGUUUUUAGAUUGCUCUAUAUCUUGAAGACAAUUUACCUGCACUAAGCUGUGUCCAAUAUUUAGUCAAAGAAUGUCUAAUUCACCACUGUAACUCAUGUAAGAGAAAAGGGACCAACUUGAAAGGAACGUAGGGUGCGGUUGGGAAUUUCCUCAGACAUGAUGAGCAGGUAAGUACUAAAACUACUGCUGGUUUCUACUUUAUUGGAGUCAGAUUUAAUAAAUUUGAGGAUGGUUAUGUAAGUGUUUAUCUUAUAAUAUUUAACCUUCUGUUUUAAUUAAUAAUGGUGCUCCAACAUUAUCACUAACUAGAUAAUUUUUAAGCUUUUUCCACCAAUCACUCAAAUGCAGGCUUUAUGACUCCUCUGUUUCUGGGUCUCAGCCCCCAAAGCCUAUCAUGCAAAAUGUUGGCAAAACUCUGUUCAUGAGGGAUAAUUCCCAGUGAGUCGCACCACGAGGAAAAUAGUUGAACUGUAAUAGAAACAUAGAGUGACUUAUGUGUCACUGAUACCUCAUGAAUCAUACCAGCUGUAGGCAUCUAAGAGUACCUGAGGUCAUGUGGAAAGGCAAUAAACAUAAGAAGUGAAGAAUACAUGGGCCUAUAUCAAAUUCUAACUGACAAUCUCAAUGUCUGUAAAGUUCCAAAAUGGGGAAGAGUAAAGAUCAGAUUAAAGAAUUAAUACUUAGUGAAAUGGCUAAACUUGGUGUGAAACAGAGCAACCCUAGGGAAUACCCUAUCUGGAUUUUCACAGCCUGUUUACCUUCCCAUGACAUUUUGAGAGGCUCCUACCACAAGGCUUACACCCCAGACUACAAGGUCUUUGCCUUCUUUAUAUUUCUUGGUGGGGACCUACCCAGACUGUACUGCCCCACUACUUCAUGUUCAGAAUCUCUCCUAUGGCAAUUGCUCUGCAGACCUUUAGCUUGUAGGAGGUUGUGAUAUGCCUAUGGGCUAUUUACAUAGACAUAAACUCAAUCUUCUCUUAAUGCUUGCUAUUGCUUUUUAGCCUCCAGCAGUUUGCCUCAGGUAAUUCUUGAUAGCACUUUUCUUUUUCAGAUCUCUCUUAGAGCACUGACCCAGGGAUUCUUGAGAUAACAGUAGCCCCUUUCCAUCCUGUCUUAAUAUGAGCACUCUUUCUAACCUUUGAGGUCAUCAAAAGAAGGAGAUGUGGAAAGGAAGUGUGGCUUAUUUGUUUUUCUUUGCAGGCCUCAGACCCAGCUCUUUGAAAAUAUGGAAAUUCUUUACAGCCACUGCAUCAGCCAGUUUUGCCUCAGAUAAACUUUGCAUCUGAGAAAUAAGUCUUUUACUCAUUUUUUUAAAGUUUAGUUUUCUUUUUUGUGGUCAGUGUUGUUUAGUGUCAUUUUCUUCUCCUUAUUUCUCUCCUUGCUUUUAUUUCUUCUCUUACAGCACUAGUGUCAGCCCCUGCCAAGUUUCUUUAUCAUCUGUCUCUAUAGCCAGCUUAACUUUUCUGAGCCAAUGAUACCAAAUCAGAAUACAUAUGGGUACUGUCAAUCUCACAUGGUGCAACUUGGAAUUAAUUUCUGAUGCCUACCAGAUAUUUAACCCAUGAGCAGAGUAAAACUUGGGUGGCCCUGAAGUCUCUAAAGAGCUCCCUCCCUAAUUCUCCAUUCCCUUUCCUGCUAUUUAACUUGAACAGAAAGCCUCAGCAUCUGCCUUGAAGCAGAGCGUAUCCUUCUGACUUUCCUGAGGCACCUAAUUUUAUUCUAGGGCUUGGGUCCAUGCUUGCAUUCCAACCUCACUUUUUUAUGGUCCUGCCCAGCUUUUGCUAAUGCCCUGCUUCCAACCGCUUAGUUAUUAUCUGUUCUCAUCCUGCCCUACAUGGGGAGGUAUGUUCAAAUCCAAAUGCAGCUGUGCCAGAAAAUGCUCUAGAAAACUCCGUGCACACUCCUGAACUUCAUCACCAUCGCUGCUGGCUCUCACAUUUGCUGGGAUCCAAUGUGAGCUUAAACAAUUUCCUCUGUGCACUUUGCCUUCACCUUAGCCAGACACUUGAGCAACCUGGCCGUAGUGAAUAAGACUGUGAUUCAAGCUCACCACCCCACUAUCUUUAGAUGAUGUUGUUUUAAUAUGUCCAGCCAAAGCCCAGGUCAAAUCACAGUAUCUAAUCUGGAUCCUGUGUAUUCUGUCUGCCAAAUUUACUUUUCUCUAGAUAGUACCUGGCAACCAGCUUAUUUCUUCUUUACUCUAAAUCGUCCUUUUAAAUACACCUCCCUAGAUCCCCUUACCACACAACACAAUCCAGCUUAACAGAGAACUUAGUUUUUAAAAUCUCUGUUUCAUUUUUGUUCAAUAACUAGUUAGCUAACUCUUAACAAAACACACCUGUAUCCACUAUGAUUUUGGAAGAAGUCUCCCCACCAUUUGUUUUGUGGCCUCAAAACUUAAACCUGACCUAAGUAUAGUUAUGUUUAUUGACUACUCACUACUUGCUAGUCACUGUGCUAAUAAUGCAAUACUGGCUUAAAUCUCACAAUAUCCAUAUUAGGGAAACACAAUUCUAACCGUGCUUUCACUGUAAGAGGAUUAACUUAGAGAGAUUAAGUAAUUUUCCUGUGGUCAGCCAAAAGUAAGUGAUAAAGUGGAGAUUUGAACAGAGUCCUUGCUUUAACCCCAGUUACAAUCAGUAUUGUAUGCCCUGAAAGGAGUGUUCCUUAAGUCCCAUUUAAGUAUCAGUUUCCUUGGAGAUAGUACUUCACUCAUUUACCAAAGAUUUCUAAGCACCUAGUGCCAAUGGCUGUUCUAAGCCCUGGAGACAUAUCCCUUAAUUAAAGAGACAGGAGCCAUUCAGAACACUCAGUUAUAGAGUCAGUUGUUCUGGUAUAAGAAGAAUCUUCCCCCAAAGUAAGUGUCUAAUGCCCUGAGGGAGGUAAGGCUCCUCUACCUCAGGCCUCACAGCACAGCUGGGCACAGCCCAUGGAGAAUCUAUCAUGUCAGAACCAGAUAGAACAGUUGUGGUCAUCUGAUUUAAUCAUCUCGGUUUAGAAAUGAAAAAAUAAAAAUAAUCAUAACAUGCUGAGAAUUUAACUUUUUCAAGAUUACAUAGAUUUGUAGUGAAAGACUCACUUCUUAAAUACAGUUGCCCCAAAUCCCCACCCAGUACUUUCACCAAUACAUCACACUGUCAUCUUGAGAAAGAUAUAGCACAUGUUGAAACCAAAAUUUUCCAUGGCUGUAGGCAAAAUUCUCAUGACCUUGGAUCACUUUAUCAGAACAAAACUCCUUCAUUUAAGCCAUUAUCCAUGAAGCAUUUCUUCUAGAGUUUUUCAAAGUGGUUUCUAACAUUUAGGCAAUGGGAACUAUGUGGGACUUGCACAUUUUUCUACUUACUCUAGUGGUGUAUGACCUAAUACAGUCUCCUGUUAGAAGUGGGGGAAAACUAGAAAACUUACUCCCAUUUUUCUUAUUGAACCCGCUUAUUAAUAAACAUCACCAAAGGUUUCUGUCUUUUCCAGACUCUCUCAUUCACACUCAUCUAGGCAACAUUCUUGGGUUUUCUUUGCCACUGAGAAUAUUAGGUUAGCAUGACUGAGUUCUGUUCACUAGUUGCAUUCUCCUCUUAUCAGUUUACCACUUUUGCAGUCUAUCCUGGCGCUUAAGGAUAUAAUCAUCUCCUCACCUCCCCCCACCCCACCCCUUGCAGUGUGAUGUUAGUUGCUUUGUCUUUUCUUUCCAACACACUAGCUUUGUGCUAUAUUUAACUCCUGUACAUUAGCAUUAAUAUCCAGCCGCACAAGGGAAGUUGCUGCUGUGCAUUACUUCCACCAGGUACAGUAGGGGUUUGUUCCGCUAAUGCCUUUUGGGGAUAGGGAAACAGAUGCACAUACAAUAAGAGGGCUGAAACUUCUCUCCACAGUAAAUCGAAGACAAAUCUUUAUAAGAGAUUUAUGUACAUGAUUUUGUUAUUUUCUCUUUUGCCUACUUUUGCUUUCCGUUUUGGUGGCACACAAAGCAACUUACAAGGGUGGCUGACAAAGUAAAAGCAUAUUCCCCUCCAAAGAAACUGCUUUAAACCUGACAAGAAACACAGAUGGUCGGCCGGGCGCGGUGGCUCACGCCUGUAAUCCCAGCACUUUGGGAGGCCGAGGCAGGUGGAUCACGAGGUCAGGAGUUCAAGACCAGCCUGGCCAAGAUGGUGAAACCCCGUCUCUAAUAAAAAUACAAAAAAUUAGCUGGGCAUGGUGGCACAUGCCUGUAAUCCCAGCUACUCCAGAGGCUGAGGCAGAUAAUUGCUUAAACCUGGAGGGGCGGAGGUUGCAGUGAGCCGAGAUCACGCCACCACACUCCAGCCUGGGUGACAAGAGCAAGAAUCUGUCUCAAAAAAAAAAAAAAAAGAAAGAAAGAAAGAAAUAAAGAAAGAAAGAAAGAAAGAAAGAAACACAGAUGCUCACCGAUGAACAUUAUUCUUCUAGGAUUCUAAGCUGCCUAGAACAAGAUUUAGUACAUAGUGGAUCCUCAAACAGUUGUUUAAUGAGUAAAACCAGAUGUGAUUUCCCCUAUUCUGGCUAGUCUUCCUUUGGCUAGAUAGGCAUUUCACCAAUGUCUAGAAGGGAAAGACUGAACCAGAAAAAGGGUGUAGUCAUCACAGGCUUCUCAUUUGCUUGUCUAGGUUAUUUUUUUUCUUCCUUUUAAACUUUUGGUCUGUGAAAUCUUCUCCUCUUUCUCUUUUGCAUUCUCUUCCCUUCUUCUCGUCUUUCUUCUUAUUAAUACCAGUUUCUCAUUUGCUUUUGUUGUUUACUUAAGCACUCAGACCUGAGUAGAUUUUUUUUUAGUUGUAAUAGAUCACUGCCCCAUUAGAACAACAACAACAACAAAAAAAAAAUAGAUGUAUUCAAGGUUUUAUCCAAGUAAGAAACAACAUUUUUUGCAUUGGCUUAACUUUGUUUUGUAAGAAAAAAUAAUCAUAAAAGCAAUAUUCAUUUGAUUCUUAGGUAGUAACAUUUAUUUAAUGAGUAUGCUAAAUAUAUGACAGGUUCCAAUUUUAUUCAAUUAAGAAAAUGGAGGUGGCUCAUGGCAGAAAAGAAAGAGGGAGGAAGAAGAGUAAAAGGUAUUGGGAGAGUAAAAACACUCAUAACUAACAGAAAAAGGUGAAACAGUGAGAGAAGUAGAAAGUGGUCAUGGGACUGAAAAAUUCUUGGAAAGCUAAUGGCUCAAAAGGAGGGGCAUUCUGCAUGCACAUACUCUCAAAUAUCUUCCUAUAGGGCUUUUGAGAGGAGAGAGGGGCAAAUGUGGAGGGUGGUACUCUUCUCUGAGUCACACCCACCAGGAGUGCAAGGACUGUUCUCUUCUUAAAGCCCCGGACCCCAUCUGUGAAUCCUACUUCCAUUCUCUGAGUCGUUCAGUUGCCUCAGAGACGAAACCUAUAGGAACCAGAAGAAGCCACUAGAAAGGCGUCCAAAGUCAGAGAAUUCUAUGCAGAAGCAGUUCUGUCUGGUGUGAAUGAAAGCACAUUCAAUUUAGAGGCCUUUCAGUGUACAUGUACAGUGACUCAUAGCCCAUGCCCAUUCUGACUGUUCAGUGCCAAUGCUUUGUCUGUUUAUAAAUAUUUUUAGUAUGACCAGCUACCUUGGGAUAGCUUAACUGAAAUAAAAAAUAAAUUCCUUAUUUUAGACUAUAUAUACCUCUAAUUUUUAAAAAAUAUAUCAGUUUACGUGAGCUGGAGUCACUCAUUCAUUUGCUCAACAGAUGUGUUGAGAACUUACUAGCAGCCAGCAAUGUGCCAAGCAAUGGGAAAUAAGCUUUGAUGUAAAAACUGGUGGCCCAAUUUAGGGGUACUUAUUGACCAUCUUGGAAAAUUACAUUUUGUUUUAUUUUUAAUAGGGAGCCAAUGAAAUUUUAAGCAAGGGAGUAGUAUAGCCGGACUUCUGCCCAGAAACAUCAAUCCGAUAGCCAGAUGUAAAAACCAGUCGAAUUGCUCUUUCAACAGUAUAGGCAAAACACAAUGAUCAUUUCACCAUACUUGCAAUAAAGAGACUUGUUUAUACUAUAACAUGGCAACAACAGGACAUGGGGACACUUUCAGUGUUGAGAGUUAGAGAAGUUAAGGGGGCAGGGUUUCUGCAUGGGAUGCACAAAAUGGAUGGGAUUACUGCAGAAAGAGAGAUCUUGUCAAGGGAGAGAUGGGAAUGAUAGGAAAGAGGAGAGGUUAGAGGACUGAGGAGAGAACUUUGAGAAACAGGAACAGUUGAGAGGAAGGCUGAAGAAGGUAUGCAACAGAAGAGGCUGAACAGGCAUGGUCAGAGGGUUGGAGAGAGAAUCUGGACAGUGCAGGGAAGUUUUGAGUAAUUCUAAGUGGAGACUAGGAGUGUUGACUUUUUAAGAGACUGAAAUAGGAGACAGCAUGAUAUAGUAGGAAGUGGGCAGGAUUGGAGUCUGACUAACGGGAAAGUAAAACAGCUGUUAUUUACUUGCCUUAGAUCUUGGGCAAGUUACUCAACAAUUCUCAAUUUUGUUUGGUUUUGUUUAAUCUACUUAAUGGAAAUAGUGUCUUGUAUAUAGGAUUGUUCUGAGUAUUAAGAUUAUAGUGUACUGUCUAUAACUAUGCCUUAAGAUCCCUUCACUGCUUCUUUUCCCCAUGGUUUUACCCUCACCCAGGCCAUUGACUUCUGAGUGCAUUUCUAAAAACAAAAAUCAGAUGAGCCCAUAACUGUUACUCAUCUCUCAUGGUUUGCCUUUACCUACACAAUAGGAGACCCAGUGGUUCUUCAUGGUCUGAUCCCUACUCAUUCUUCUAGCCCCACCUCUCAUCACUUUGACAUCUCAUUCCAGUUACAUCAUAUUCAUGGACAUCAUGCUUUGUCAUACCUUCAAAUCUUGGAAAAAACUGCUUCCUCUUCCUAGAUUGUCCUCACCUGACUCCCUGGCUGCAUAACUCUUCAUCAACCCUUCAAGACUUUAAUUCAAGAACCUAGUUCUCCAUGUACAUAUCCUUAGCCCCAUACACACUCUGCACUAACCCCAACAUCUAAACCCCAAAACCCUUCUUCCUUGCUGCCAUAAUAUUUUGUAAAUGUCACCAGUCAUACUGAAGCAAUAUUUUAACUGUUUAUGUGUUUGAAUUAUCUCCCACCCAAUUGACUAAUAUAUAUACAAAAGCAAAAUGAUUUCUCAUUGAAUCAUCAAUAACUUUACAUGAAUGCAUAGAUGCAUGCUCUUAGUGAAAGGGCAUGGGUUUUGCAGGUUAAGUAUGCAUUGCAUUAAAAAUUGUAAACCCAUGUAAACAAAGAAUAAGUUACAGCAGUCUUUUCUUGAAAGUCUUGUAGUUGCCUACUCCAAGGCUAGAUUAGAUUUGAGGUUCAGCAGAUCAUUAUUGUACUGAUAAGAUUUAGGUCUUAAAAUAAUAUUACCCUAAAAGUUUAUUCCAAGCCCUGAUUACUGACUCAGUAUGGAACUGAUUUGCAGUUUGAGAAAGAGUCAGCAUGGCAUAGUAGUUAAGAACAUGGAAGCUGGAGUUAAACUACUUUGGUUCAAACCCCUUUUUCUGAUCAUUACUAACCAUGAUUCUGGGCUAAUUAUUUAGCCUCUCCAUCGUCUAGCCUCUUAAUUUUUAAAAUGGUGCUGAAAACCAUAGAUAUACCUCCUAGAGAUUUUAUGAGAAUUAACUGAGUUAAUACACAUAAGGGGAUUAUAAGUGUCUGGUACAUAAUAAUGUUUUUACCUCUAUGACUUGUGAUUCCUUUUGAGGACAUUAGUGGCUAUAGUUAUACAUAUCCACAUAACACUAUGUACAUGUACACAGUUAACAAGAUAAGUACCAUAUAUCAACAGGAAACAGAAUUUCAUGAAAGCCCCAAGGGAUAUCUGGAUCCUAGGCUGGCCCUGAAAUCUACACGUGCUCCCUGUCAUUCUCUUUCUGCUCAGCUUCUUCUCCAGCAAGCAGUCCUUUCACAACAGAGCCCUUGUAAGAAGAAUGAAGGCAGGAUAGAGCACACGGGGAUGAGACUUUGUUUUUAAACAAGGACAGAAAAAUGGAUUCUAGUAAUGCCAACUGAAAAAUACUCCUUAAAUUAUCUACUAUGGUUGAGACACUGUUCUAGGUACAAUGGGGCCAACCUGUUUUACUGGUUUUGAGCCCUAGAGGAAUCUUGUACUAUCACAAGAAAUAACCUUUCUUUUCUACCAUGUGCUUAUUUUUUUCUUCUUCCUUUUUUUUUUUUCUAAAAUAGCAUUCUGAUCAACGUGUGUAGGGUACUAUGGUGAUGGCUGCUAUAUAAAUACAAGAAGAGAGAACAAGAGAAAAGGGGGAGGUAAUUAACUCAAUUGUAUAAGGCUUUCUUUAAGAGGCAGAAUAAAGGUUCUCCAUAAUUUCACUCCUAUUUCCAAAGAGACAGAAAAAGUUGUUACAAGAGAUGUCCUUACAAUCCCAACUCUCGUGCACAUCACUGACUCCAAGACAGGAAGCCCACUCGCUUUUUCCACCUGAAUGUGCAAGGCAAUCCACUUUUCCUACUGCUUUUUCCCCUCUAAGUAAACAACCUCUUUAUAAACGGAAAAAUGGAGAGCAAGCCUUUCAAACAGUUGUCAUAAAUUAGAAUAAAUUGCAUUAAUUCAAAAUGUAAAACUAGGAGAGCCAGGAGAACAUGCAACAUAUUUUCCCCAAAUAACACUGUGAACAAGCACAAGUGUAUACUUUGGGCAUAUGUAUAUCUUUCCUCUGACUGACAGCCUGAAGGAUCGUCUAUGUGAUUUUUGUGUUGCUGAGGUGAAAACAAUCUUUAUUUGGAUUGAAUAGCAGAGUAAACAGGAAUGAAAAAGAGACACAAAAGUUUACAGUACAGAUGGUUUUCCAAUUCUUUUACAAAAAUUGUCUUAUCAAUUAAAGGUGCAUUUACCUUUUGUUCUAGUCAAUUGUCAUGGGUGCUUUUCAGGAUUAUACAACCAGAAAAAUUAGAGUAGAUCAGUAAAUUAUGUCCCAAGUUUAAUAAUGCCACACAGGUUAAAUGUAGCAAUGAAAGUUUAUCUUGCUACCUUUUAACUGUAAAAAUAAAAUGAUUCACCUUCUAGUGUGGCUAUGUAAGUCAUGAAAGAAACUGAAAACCUUAGUGAUCACAAGCCAAGACAAAGAAAUAAAAUAAGAAAGAAAUGUGUGUGUGUGUGUGUGUGUGUGUGUGUGUGUGCACAUACCAAUACAUAUGGGGGGAAUGGGUAAAAGAUUUUUAUGAUUCAAGAAAAAUAUUAAAAGGUAUGCCAAAAGUGGUCUCCAGAGACACACAAGGAUUUUAUUAAACUAUAAUUAUGCCUACCUGUAAGCAGCAUACACCUGUGCACCUAAAAGCCUCCUUCCUAUGAUUGGAAGAAGGUUUUCCUUCCUACGUAGUCAUCGGGCUCUGUCAUUUGAAUGAACUGCCUUAGGUAGCACAAGGAAGGGAUAACAUAACAAUCUAUCUCCUGUCAACAAGGCCCCUUCUCAUUCAGGGAAACAAAAGACUACUCUAACAGAAUUAUCCACAACUUUACUACAGUUAAUGUCAAAUUCAAAAUAAAACAGCAUUGCCUAAAAAUUUACUGAGCAUUUUUUAUUUAACAUGAUUUUGGCUAUGAAUCAUGCUAUAUCUUUUAGUUUGUGUCAAAUACUGCCUUUACCUCCAACAUUUUCUGACUGCAGAAUCCAUGGCAGUUACAAGGUCUAAUUUAGAAGCACAUGAGGGACCCAUGGACAAACAUACAGGUCUAACUUCCAGGCUCGUCCUUGAUCCUGCAGGCUCUUCUGCUUGCUUUGAAAAGACCGGUUAUGGCUCUCAAGGGUGCUCUAAUCUGGAACCAUUCCCAUGCAAUAAUCAAUGGCAUAUCAUCAUUUCUUUCCUUUUCCAAAAGAACAGGAUACACAGAAAAUAAUGCACAUGUAGUGGAGAGUUGAAAGCCUAAUGCACAUAGGAAACGGACCCCUCCAAAUCAGCACAUCAGGCCACCAGAUAUCAGUCUCAGGCAGGCGUUAGUCAUCAUUUUCUUAAACGAGCCAUGCUCUUCUCCCAGGAUUUAUGCAUCUUCUUCCCCCUCUACAUAAAGAAUUAGCUGAAUAAAGUAAAAAUAAGAGGACUCUGGGGCUGCAGAUGGCUGACCAGCUGUUUCUGGGUGACACCCCAUGAAUCAGUGCCUCAUCGAGCUUUAGUGCUUCCAUGUUUUGGGGGCAAAAUAUUCUGCAUUUUGGAAAACUAGUUCAUGGAAAAUAAUACAGCAAACUAACAUUUAUAGAAAACCACAGUAAUCUUGUAACAAAUGUCCUAAAUUAUGUACUCAAAAGCAGAUCCAAUUUUACCCAAGGUUCUCGUCUACAGAGCCUGUAGGACACUUUCUUGUUGUUGUUUAUAACUGCAGCUCCUCCCAACCCCCAACUCAAUUGCUUCUUUUUUUAAUGAUAUACCACUUUAUAUAAUAUACCACACAGAAGACAAAAUUUCAGCCUGUAGAAGAGGUUCGGUCUGGGAGCAGCAGGAACAUGGAAUAUUUAAAGGAUUUUACUUCCAUAUCCCCUUUGGAUAUUUCUCUUAUAUAUUUUCAUUCAGUUUGGUGUUAAGAUUAAUGCUACAUUUGAAAGCCUCCUAGUUUCGUUUUGAACAAUACUUAUUCCUCAGUGCUUAAGUGCAAUGCUGGGAGUGUGGACAAAAUAAAAGUAGAAUGGAACUUUAUAUUUCAACCUCUCCCACUUUCCUUCAAAGAAGUUUCUGGCAAGGCAAGAGUUUCACUGAAGCCUUUCCUGGUUGUCCUCUUCAAUUUUAGAUGAUUGCUUGAUAUAAGUAUCUCUAACAGGGUAUAUUUUAAUACACAGAGUAGCAGAGAUGGCUUCAAAUGCCUAUUAUCAGAAAAAAAAGGCAUUUGUGUGAUGGGGAAAUAAGAAACCUCUGCAAUCACUUUUAUUCAAUGAAAGCCAUUCCUUUGGGUGGGAGAGUCAAAUGCUAGUACCCACACAUGCUGCCUGCAUACCAGCACAAGCCGGAGGAAUGCAGAUUUCUGUAUCUAAGAACAGCUGCUAAGUAAAAUGGAACGUCCAACAGAUGGCUGCAUUGUCAUUAUUGGGGGAGGAAGAGAGGGGAGCUAUUUUGGUUUUUCUGUUGAGUGUGUGUGUGUGUGUGUGUGUGUGUGCAUGCACCCAUGCACGUGUGUGUUUAAUAGGAUGUGUUCUCUCAUACCUGUGUUCUCUACUACCUAGAUCUCUCUGGUGCUAUCAAAGACUCUUAAUCACUUUGAUUCUUAGAAUUAGAACAGACAUUGGGGAUCGUUUAGUCAUUUGACAUUUAAUGGAGAAGAAGAGAGAAGACCAAAGACACAUAGCAUAUUGGAGCCAAGACCAGAACUCUUACAUUUGGCCUGAUUACAUAGAAGUCCUACAUUCUAUUUACUUAAGGAUCAGUACUGAGCGCAAAUACCAAAGCUCAAGAAAAGGAAACACUACAGCAGUUGCAGUUUCAUAGUCUGAAAAGUACGUGUGUGUGUGUGUGUGUGUGUGUGUUCAAGUCUUCUGAUGGAGUUGCUUUGCAAUUCACAUGGAGGAAAGAAGUAAGCUAUUUUGUAAGUUAACUUAUAUCUGGUCUUUAUUAUACAUUUAUUAGAUGUUUGGAACAUUUUGACUUAUGGUCUCCCAAAUUAAAUAACAAGCUAUAGAAUAUGAAGAUUCUCCUCCAGUUUCAUACUUCAGAACACAAGGAGUUAAGUUUCAAGUCAAAGCUACUGAAAGCCAUUCUUAAGAAGCAGACAGGAAAGUGUUGAGAUCCCAUCAUGACCUGUCUAUAAAGGUCUCCAACCCACUGCUGAUGGUAGCUUUGGGUCAGUUGUACAGUCACAUGGCUCACCCAUUGGUUCAUGUUUUUUUCCAGAAAUAGAAUCAAUAGAGAACAGACAAACCCACAGUUGCCAGUUUGUACAGUCUUGUGGUUUCUGUCAGGGGCUACAGACUCGAGCAGGUCUACCAGAUAAUGAAGGCAAACUAUUUCAGUUCCUGUGGGUCCAGAGUGCCUUGGCAGAGUUCUGGUUUCAAACAAAUGAAUAACAAAUUAAAAGGUACAGUAAAAUAAGGCGGUGGUUAAAAUAUAUGAACUAAAAUCAAUGUAGGAGAAACAUAGUUAAAAACCCUGCAUUCUCAGCAAUAGCCUACAAUGUAUUUUGUUAAUCUCUUAAAAUUUAUGUUAAAAGCCUUUUAACAGAAAGUCAAUAUAUUUGGGUGGUAGAGCACGUAUAUCAUCCUGUACUGGUGGUUGCAUUAAAUACUAUGCAUAGGCUCCACUGUCUGUAGAAAAUGAGCAGGGGUCCACCCAACGGAAGUUCCAUCUCAAGGAGGUCAGACACUUUUCCCAAAAUGGACUAUGAAGCCAAGCUCAGCAUUACACUCUCCUCUGCCUAGGUUCCCCACUGACGUCAACAAGAGUUCUGAAAAUGAAGGGGGAUCAGAAUACCAGAAGCAUAGCCUAAUAAUAGAGCAAAAACGGAGAGCAGAUGGAAAAUAAAGCUUCUCGAAUGAAGUGUGACCUAAUGUCAUAAAUUUGUUGGGGAAAAGAAAACAACAACAACAGCACAGCAAAAAGGUCUGUAAGCAGACUUACUGGUGUGAAAACUCUGGAAUAUGGCAGACUAGAAAAAACACCUAGCUACUUAGAAACCUUUCAGUAAAGGACUAAAAAGUAAACAAGAAAACAUGCAAAAUCAAAUUUUGGAUGAGUUCGAAACACCACUACUAAUUGUGUGUAGGGGCAAAAAAGACACAAAAAUAGAAGUAGAAAACUCUAGAAACAGGGUUUUAGCAGUUUCCUCUGCACAUUAUUUACGCAUACACUUAUUCCUUCUAUCUUCAACUCACCUGGAACAAUCUGCUGCCCCCACAGAUGGGCAAGCUUGGAGUGACUCAGGCACAAACUUGAUACACAGUGGUAAAAAUGAGUUGAAAGAAUGGGCCCAAAGUAAAAGAUGUUAAAAAGGGUCCCAGCCACACACUAAUCUCCUAGAAGGGCUCACCAUUUACUCCUGCACCCUUAUACCCUCGUGCGUGUGUGUGUGUGUGUGUGUGUGUGUGUGUGUGUGUGUGUGUGUGUGUGUGUGUAUGCGCGCAUGCUUGCAUGCGCGCCAAAGUCUCAGUACAAACUUCCUGGGAAUCUUUACUAACUGUAUACAUCUCAACAGAAGAGAGAUUUUUAGAUCUACUUAAUAAUUGGACUUAGAAACUUACUUUUGAUAUGGACAAAGAAGGUCUCAAGAUGUUGAGUGAAAUAUAAAGAAAAAUCUCAAAUUCAAUCCCUAAAUAUUUGUUUUUCUAUCUGGCAAUCAUCAAGAUGUUUUUCUAUUUGAUGAACACUCUGUUUUCUCCAAGAGUGGGCUGUUGGUUGGGAAAGCGGAGGAGGUGAAGUUUUAGAGUAGGGCUGCGUUUUCUCUUUAUUUUCAUUGUUUAACCACUGAUGGGAUUAAGGCAGGGAAAGCUAUCUUUUUUAAAAUGUUUUUCUUCUUUCGGUUUUUCAUUCUAAUGGUUCUUGGGCUUUACCUCUAUCACCCCAUACAAAGAAAUAUUGUUUCUUCAGGGUAG